CCUACGGGUGGCAGCAGUGGGGAAUAUUGCACAAUGGGGGUAACCCUGAUGCAGCGACGCCGCGUGAGUGAAGAAGUAUUUCGGUAUGUAAAGCUCUAUCAGCAGGGAAGAAAAUGACGGUACCUGAUUAAGAAGCCCCGGCUAACUCCGUUCCAGCAGCCGCGGUCAUACGGAGGGGGCGAGCGUUAUCCGGAUUUACUGGGUGUAAAGGGAGCGUAGACGGCAGCGCAAGUCAGAAGUGAAAUACCGGGGCUUAACCCCGGAACUGCUUUGGAUACUGUGCAGCUAGAGAGCAGGAGAGGUAAGUGGAAUUCCUGGUGUAGCGGUGAAAUGCGUAGAUAUUAGGAGGAACACCAGUGGCGAAGGCGGCUUACUGGACUGUAACUGACGUUGAGGCUCGAAAGCGUGGGGAGCAAACAGGAUUAGAUACCCCAGUAGUC
rnacentral:rRNA from 1 species